CCACUCAGAGCAGCACUGGCCAUCCACAUUGAGAGAUUUUAAUCUUUCCACAUAAAUCACUCCCUCCGGCUCCUUAAUCAUAGGUGACACUCGCAGCGCCGGCAUCUCGCGCUCUGGUUUCCCUGAAAGGUCUUGCAAGCUAAGCAGGGUGAAGCUGAGUCAGUAACUGAGAUGAAAGACACAAGAACCACCCAGGAAAUGCACACAAAAGGAGUCCACAGACAGCACAUGUCUCUCUGAGCCUCUGCUUCUCACGGUCCGGAAGAGGGACUCCCCGGGUCUAAAACCCCGCUGUUUUCCGAGUGAGGAGCCGGCCCGCAACCCCCACGGCGCGCUGUGCUCACCGGUGGAAACCGGAAGGUACCCCAAAGCCAGGAUCCCCCAAAGCCCCUUCAGCUUUCUAUGCUCUGCGCCUGUGCUCCCAACUUCCUUUAAGAGGCACGUGAUCAGAGUUUUGGCGGAACCAGUCGCGAUGGAACUGGCAGGAGGACUUUCAAUCCAGCUGGAAAGAGAAAUGGUUUUUCUCCUUUUCUGGAAACUGGAAGUAAUCAAAUACAGAAGCUUAAGAAGCUUAA